rnacentral:rRNA from 1 species
CACGUAGGGUGCGAGCGUUGUCCGGAAUUAUUGGGCGUAAAGAGCUCGUAGGCGGUGUGUCGCGUCGGCCGUGAAAACCUGCAGCUUAACUGUGGGCUUGCGGUCGAUACGGGCAUCACUGGAGUUCGGCAGGGGAGACUGGAAUUCCUGGUGUAGCGGUGAUAUGCGCAGAUAUCAGGAGGAACACCGGUGGCGAAGGCGGGUCUCUGGGCCGAUACUGACGCUGAGGCGCGAAAGCGUGGGGAGCAAACAGG